UCCGUAGGCGGGCAGCUAAGUCAGUGGUGAAAGUCUGCAGCUCAACUGUAGAAUUGCCAUUGAUACUGGUUGUCUUGAAUUAUUAUGAAGUGGUUAGAAUAUGUAGUGUAGCGGUGAAAUGCAUAGAUAUUACAUAGAAUACCAAUUGCGAAGGCAGAUCACUAAUAAUAUAUUGACGCUGAUGGACGAAAGCGUGGGGAGCAAACAGGAUUAGAUACCCUGGUAGUCC
rnacentral:rRNA from 1 species